UGACUCUUGACUCGAUCAAUGAGAUACC
rnacentral:rRNA from 1 species